GCUCCCAGCAGCAGCUGUGUCCAAGCAGGUCUCUUCGGGGCAACUGUCUCCCCACACUGCUCCACACAAGCAGCUGUGGCCCCUCCCCUGAAGCAGGGCAGGGUAGGACAAGCCCUGGGCAGGGCUCCACACCCCCCAGCCAGGACUAGCUAUGAAGAAUCUGAACCAUUUUCCUCUAAGUAUGCAGCAUUUUCCAACAUUUACCCAGAACAAGAUAUGCUGAACAGAAAUAUGAAGAAGAAAUGCAAUGCACAGAAACACUAUCAUGAGCAGUGACAUUAUUACUAUCCAGCUCUCAAAAAAGAGCAGCAGAAAAGAAUGAAGAGUCAAGCUGAAGUAAGUGAAAACUGGGGACCAGAAGUCAGUGAGGGGACAAUUUACAUGGAUUUCAAUUUUUUUCAGUAGAAAAAUAUUUUGCUGUUUUAGAGACUUAAAUAACUUAAGAACCACACCACUGAAUAUAUUGUUGCAUUCUUUGCACAUAAACUUUAAUUUACAUCACUACAGCCUUUACUACACAGGAAAUAUAUUAAGUUACCCUAUAAACCAGACAAAAACUUUAAAUUUCUGAUUUAAGGCAUUUCAGUACAAGGCAUUUCAGUACAUUUCACUCAAGGCAUUUCAGUACAAUAAGCCAACAUCUCAUGAAAUCAGAAAGUAGUGAAAUUGUCUGAAUGCAGUUUUACACACACACACACGAAACACUAAAUAAACAUUUUAAAGCUGACUCUGUCUUAGUGCUGAAGCACAUAGAUUUUUGAAUAAUAAAGCAUGUAACCUUGGCUAGAAAUGAGAAACCAUAACAAAAAGUAUAUUAAAUACACUGUAAUACUACAAUUUCUAAAGCUAAAGUUUUAGUGAAGUUAGUGAACAAUUUUAAAAUGUAAUGUCAAGCUAUAAACAGCCAGUAUUAAAAAUAAAUUAACCUUCAAGAUUCUGACUCAAAUAUAUAAUUGCUGCACUUCUUUUAAAGUCAAAUAACUAUCCUUAAAGAACUGGGUAGGUCUGCAUUAAAAUCUUAACUAAGAUUUCUAUAGGCGUUUUAUCAGUUUUAAUGGUGACCUUUAUUUCAAAACACAUAGAAGCAGCAGUGUUAUUAAGAACUUAUCACAAUAAUACUAUUCUUUUACUCUGCUCUAGUGAUAAAUCAUAAUUCUGCUCUUGAAAUAAAAGCCAGACAAUGCUUCUGGUGGCUCCUUUUUACUCUCUGAAAAUAAUUUCUUCCUAAAUUUGUUUUUCUUCAUACUCUUUCAAACUCAGAACAGUCCUUCUUACAUUUGCUCCUAAUGCCUUCCUAAAGUCAUAAUCCCACCCAAGAAAGUCAACCAAAAUCUACAAACUGAUGUACAAGAGAGUGUAAUCAAAUGUUGAAGGGCACAUAUGUUAAUGGAUAAAGACACUGUCUUCUUUUCCAUACCCCUGGACAUAUUAACUAGACCCGUGCAAGUAGGGAAGUAUUUGAUUUGGAUUUGGCCAAUUCAAAGGACAGUGAUUUGAUUUGGAGAUUUGGAUCACUGUCCCAAAUAGAUUCGGCUGAAUCUGCUUUGGAAGAUUUGACGCCGACUCGGAGAGAUUUGGUGAUUUGGAUCAGCCAGGGAGAGGCAGGCACAGUCUGCCUCACACUCUUUGGCUGAAGGAGCAGCAAUUGGGGCCUCUGGGCACUUGUGGCAGAGCCCUCCCCAUGCACUGUGGGCCAGUUGGGUGCAGCAGGGAUUGCUCCCCCCCCGCCUGGAACCCGCAUGACACCUGACCUAUGGUGCGGGUACAGUGUAGCUUAGCAGGGCGCCACACGCUGCCUGGGACCUGGGGCCACUGGGUCUGAGUGGUGCCAGGCUAUGGCUGACACAUGGAGCUGUCCCAGCUCCCAGGCAGUGCGCAGCACCCUGCCAAGCCACGCUGCACUCGUGCAAUGCGACAUCUGCCACAAGGGUGCCAAACGGGGGUCCCCGCUGCCCCCCACUGCCCUGCACUAUGUGGUGGGGCUCUGCCACAAGUGCCCAGAGGCCCCAAACGCCACUCCUGCAGCUGGUGAGUG